rnacentral:rRNA from 1 species
AGUGAACGCUGGCGGUAGGCCUAACACAUGCAAGUCGAACGGCAGCACAGUAAGAGCUUGCUCUUACGGGUGGCGAGUGGCGGACGGGUGAGGAAUACAUCGGAAUCUACUUUUUCGUGGGGGAUAACGUAGGGAAACUUACGCUAAUACCGCAUACGACCUACGGGUGAAAGCAGGGGAUCUUCGGACCUUGCGCGAUUGAAUGAGCCGAUGUCGGAUUAGCUAGUUGGCGAGGUAAAGGCCCACCAAGGCGACGAUCCGUAGCUGGUCUGAGAGGAUGAUCAGCCACACUGGAACUGAGACACGGUCCAGACUCCUACGGGAGGCAGCAGUGGGGAAUAUUGGGCAAUGGGCGCAAGCCUGACGCAGCCAUACCGCGUGAGUGAAGAAGGUCUUCGGGUUGUAAAGCCCUUCUGUUGGGAAAGAAAAGCAGCAGAAGUAUAUCUCGCUGUUUUGACGGUACCUAAAGAAAAAGCACCGGCUAACUUCGUG